CACUUUUCUAACUUAAUUCGCCACACAAAAAUGGCGGACAAGGUCAUUGAGGGAUAAUUCAGUCAAACGAAAAGGACAAAUGGGAGCAUUGAGGAAUAAUUCAGUCAAACGAGAAGGACAAAUAGAAGCUUGCUAAUGGGGGUAAAAUUCAUAUACAAAAACCAAGAAAACUACGCAGUUUUCAUGCAAAUAAAUACGCAGUUUUCAAGUGCUGUUGAAAAAUAUGCAAGAAAAACAUUGUCUUGGCUUCGCUGUGACGGGCACCAGGCAUGCA